UGUAAGCGUAUACCAAAGUUGUUGCAGUUAAAACGCUCGUAGUCGGAAUUUGGCAGUUCCGGAUGUGUGCACGUCGUGUGCGCACUUCGCGGGGAUUGCUUUUGUGGUCUUGCGUAGGAUGAGGCACUUUUAUUAGUGAACGUCCUCACGCAACCACUUUUUACUGUGAGAAGAUCAGAGUGCUCAAAGCAGGCAUUUGCCGUGAAUGUAUUAGCAUGGAAUAAUGGAAUAGGACUUGGUUCUAUUUUGUUGGUUUGUUGGGACUGAGUAAUGAUUAAGAGGGACAGUUGGGGGCAUUUGUAUUUCGGUGCUAGAGGUGAAAUUCUUAGAUUACCGAAAGACAAACUGCUGCGAAAGCGUCUGCCAAGGAUGUUUUCAUUGA
rnacentral:rRNA from 1 species